rnacentral:rRNA from 1 species
GAUGAACGCUGGCGGCGUGCCUAAUACAUGCGAGUCGAGCGAACGGACGAGAAGCUUGCUUUUCUGAUGUUAGCGGCGGACGGGUGAGUAACACGUGGAUAACCUACCUAUAAGACUGGGAUAACUUCGGGAAACCGGAGCUAAUACCGGAUAAUAUUUUGAACCGCAUGGUUCAAAAGUGAAAGACGGUCUUGCUGUCACUUAUAGAUGGAUCCGCGCUGCAUUAGCUAGUUGGUAAGGUAACGGCUUACCAAGGCAACGAUGCAUAGCCGACCUGAGAGGGUGAUCGGCCACACUGGAACUGAGACACGGUCCAGACUCCUACGGGAGGCAGCAGUAGGGAAUCUUCCGCAAUGGGCGAAAGCCUGACGGAGCAACGCCGCGUGAGUGAUGAAGGUCUUCGGAUCGUAAAACUCUGUUAUUAGGGAAGAACAUAUGUGUAAGUAACUGUGCACAUCUUGACGGUACCUAAUCAGAAAGCCACGGCUAACUACGCG